rnacentral:rRNA from 1 species
ACCGUGGGCAACCUGCCCUCAGCUCUGGGAUAACUCCAAGAAAUUGGUGCUAAUACCGGAUGUGACCGCUGACCGCAUGGUCUGGUGGUGGAAAGAUUCAUCGGCUGAGGAUGGGCCCGCGGCCUAUCAGCUUGUUGGUGGGGUAAUGGCCCACCAAGGCGACGACGGGUAGCCGGCCUGAGAGGGUGACCGGCCACACUGGGACUGAGACACGGCCCAGACUCCUACGGGAGGCAGCAGUGGGGAAUAUUGCGCAAUGGGCGAAAGCCUGACGCAGCGACGCCGCGUGAGGGAUGACGGCCUUCGGGUUGUAAACCUCUUUCAGUAGGGACGAAGCGAAAGUGACGGUACCUACAGAAGAAGCACCGGCCAACUACGUGCCAGCAGCCGCGGUAAUACGUAGGGUGCAAGCGUUGUCCGGAAUUAUUGGGCGUAAAGAGCUCGUAGGCGGUCUGUCACGUCGGCUGUGAAAACCCGAGGCUCAACCUCGGGCCUGCAGUCGAUACGGGCAAACUAGAGUACUGCAGGGGAGACUGGAAUUCCUGGUGUAGCGGUGAAAUGCGCAGAUAUCAGGAGGAACACCGGUGGCGAAGGCGGGUCUCUGGGCAGUAACUGACGCUGA